AUUAAAAGGACAUGACAAUAUGUUUAUCAGGUGGUUGCUUUUGUAUUACUAUGUAGUUGAUAUGUUGUUAUUGUGAAGUGUUAUAAGUUUGUACAGGAAAUAAAUACUGAUUGCUUUCAUUAUUGAUUGCAAAUGGCAUGAAAGAUCAUUCUAAUGUUAAAGUAACUCUUAAUGUCUGAUGUUCGUUUCUCUCUUAACAGAGCUCUCACGACCCGAGCACAAGAGGCUUCAUCCAGAACCUGCUGAUACAGACGAGAGAGGGAGAAAUAGAGUUAAAAGAAUAAUGGAAAGAAGAAGAAAGCAAAACGAUCAACUGGUUCUGCUGUACAGAAGGGAAACCAAAGAAGGCCCUGGAGUGAGGCAGAAAAAAAGGCUGUGUGGAGUCA